GGUUACCGGGAGCUGGAUGGCAGGUUCUAGAAGCGCUGUCGUAACUUGAGACGCAGUUGCGAAAGGUAAGUGGCCUCCUUUUCAAUGAGGAACUUGUUUACAUUCAGCGGCAUAAUUACAACCCACAUUCCGAAAUGGGAACUUGUUUGGCGCGCACGGAGGCAAUUGUAAAAAUGUGCUUUUGCCGUCAACGUGACGUCAUGGCACGUUUACUUUUAUGAUUGACUUCGAAUGGCCCUUCUAUGUUAUGAAGGCAACAACCCAAAUUACGCACGGCCUCAUACGAAGUGCGCAGUUGCCAUGCAGCGUGUUUUCCUUACCUUACCCGGAAAACAAGGCUCGGCUGCCCGCUUUCAAAUGUGCCCGAGCACUUUUUCGUGUUCCAGGUUGAGAUGACGACUCGAGGUGGCGCUGGAUCGAUGCUCGCUGCGAGAGGAUGUUGCGCACUUCUAUUUACUUCACGUGUGAGAGCUUGGUAAAACGCUGCACUGCGUAGGAUUCAACUGAUGAUGCUUGACUUUAUUUAUCUCUAAAUUUCACUUCGGAUAAUAUGCGUUUCAUAAAAAACAAAAAAAAUCCAUGUAAAAGUUACCAAAUGAUGACCUUAAAUUUACAUUUAAAUCUCACUUGUCCUAUUGUCAUUUCCUCUAACAAGCCAUAUGAACAUAUGACAAUAUGAAGUUACUUGCCGUCCCAUUUGAUGGAGUGGGAGCGAAUGCAUGACUCGAUUUUUAUUUGAUUUCUUUAUUUUUUAACACACAUUAAUGAAUUAUCCCCAAAGUUGUUAUUUUAUAUUAAUUUCGCCGUAUAGAUGCGGUUUUGGUAGUUGAUAAACCCAAAAUGCUGCUGUGCGCAGGCCCUGGAUCAUAUCCAUCCAUCCAGAGGUUUCUGUCAUACGCACUUUUUAUUCCUGAUGUAAACAAAGCCUUCUUGGUGCGUUACGCUUAAUGAACACCAAGUGGCGCUCUUUGCUUCAGAUCUUCCACUGAGCCCUCAUCUGCUUGAGUAACCGGCAUUUAACACUGCACAUCAGUUUCAACAAUGUAUGUGACGUCAUAUCUGAAACGUGACGACUCGACAUAGUCAAAAUAAAAAUAAAGGAAGCCAUUAUUAAAGAUGAUGUAAGGAUGGAUGCUAAUAUGUCGAAUAAGAAGAGCAAGACAAGCUACUUCUGAGCUGCUCUCCACUUUCGAGAAGGUGAGCAGAUAGCAGUAGUUGUUCAUAUGAAAGUGGAAAUACCAGAAUUUUGAAGUACGUCAGAACCUGCAAUUGUUUCUGCAUAAAUGUCAUUUUGGCCUUUCCGGGACUUUGAAGCCAGAGUGAGGAAAUGUUGAAAUCUACUGCACACUGUUUGUCAUGUCUUGGAAUAAUAACGGGUUUUCCUCUGGAAUCUGCGAAAGAGGGUGUGGGUGGUGAGAAGGUGUGUGUGGAGGGGGUCUCUGACACUUGUUUUCAUUCACAGUGUGCAUAUUUUGAACAUGAGCGGAUAACACCAGAUGAGAGCUGGUUUAAAUUUAACCCAGGUAAGCAGCCAUAUUUGUUUGUUUAAAUUCACUGAAUCCUCUUUGUGUCUUUGUGCGUAUCAGUGAAGUGGACCAAGAUCGUAAUUAAGCUUUGGGAAGUGGCAUUGGCACAGCUGAUACGUAGAUGACGUGGCUAAGACUAAUGCAACCUCCACUGAAUGGAGGAGGAACAGCACUUUGUUGGGUUUGACCUACGGCGGUUUCUUGUCAGCGUGGGCUCCCGUAUCUUUCGGUUGCCGUGGGGAGCAGGACGUCACAGGCGUUACCAGGGGGAAAUGCAGCAUGCUUGGUGAAGGCAUUCAAAGGAGAUGCACUGGUUUCAUGUUAAAAAAAAGUACAAAGCUUUUGAAACACUUGCUGCAGGAAGCCAAAGAGAGAUUGCCCACCAGAGAAACUGGAAAGCUUCCGCCAUUGAAAUCUGACAAUCUGCGGAGUAGCGGAGACGGCGAGGCGGCAUUCGUGUCCGAUGAGGCCAGAUGUGGAGCUGGACGGUGGCGUCUUAUGUUCUUGCCCGAUGUUUGUGCUUUUUCACUUUGGAUCGAGUAUCAGAACGUAAGAAGUGGGUGUGUUACAUUAGUGAGAGGCAUUCUGAUGCCUUCUCAGCAGUUCUCCAUGCCAUCUCUCUUGAACCACAUCCCCUGGUCAAUAAUGGGCCUCUCCCUUUUUGCAAUGCUUUGUAUUCUAUACACUCAAACGCCACGAUAUUAAGUAUACUGUAUCUGCGCAAUAUAGUCUAAUGUAACAUGUAUUUAAUUGUAGUUUGAAAUGGUAUAGAAUUGCAGUGCAUCAUAUUGAGAGCUGUUUCUAAUAUUGUGGUUAUUUAGCUUCACAAGAGGGGCCUCCUAAUCUAUGCAAAAUACUUGAAUACUGUAGAUAAUGGAAUUAGGUUUGACUGCACCCUCGUCCGAUUCCCUAGGGUGAUGGUAAAAGGGAAAGCCAGUUGUGUGAAUCACAAAGCCAUAGAUAGAUGUACUUUAUAAAUCCUAAGUUGGAUCGUAGUAAUAACUGCUAGGGUCAAAGGGGUUGGAGUAGUUAACAAGAAGCUUCUAAGUUGCACUUCCUGGUGCAAGCAUGGGGAGAGGGUCGUUCGUAUGCUCAUUCAGCAUGUUGAAAUGUUUGGUUAAGUUUAUUAAACACUCAUUCACUGCCAGCCCUCUCAGUUAAAAUGCAUAUUUGACCUACAGUGCUGUCAAAAAAUAUUGCCCCCUUCUCAAAUUCUUAAAUGUUUGCAUAGUUUCCCCACUUUAAUGUUUAAGAUCAUCAAACAAAUGUAAAUAUCAGACAAAGAUAAUACAGGUGAACACAAAAUGCUGUUUUUAAAUGGUGAUUUUAUUGAUUAAGGGUGAAGAAAAAAAACUAUUCAAAGUUACCUGGUCCUGUGUGAAAAAGUAAUGGACCACUAAGCCUAAUGAGGGGUGGGCCACCCUGUGCAGCAACACCACCAUUUAAAAACACAAUUUUAUGGUUAUUUUUGUUUGAUGAUCUGUUUAUGAAUGUGGGAAGAAAACCCACACAAGCACCAUUAGACUCCACACAUAAAGGCUUAAAUUUAGAUUUGUACCAAGAACCUAAAUGCUCCCGAGAAGCCCUUAAUGAAAAUAUGUAACACAGAAUUGUUAUUGAAAAACUACAGUAUACUGUAUGUUUAAUGUGUUUAAUUCAUUUUGUCCCCUCUUAUCCUACCUUUUAAGGAAGGCCUGGCUGUCUUCUGAAGAAGAAAAUUGCUUGCCUUGUCAUCGAAAGGUGCCAGUUUGCCAAUUUUCAGAAUUGUUUUAUCAUCUCUCUUCAAGAUUCAAUAGUCAAGGCUGUUUUACCCCAUAGCUGGAUGUUGUUUCCUGUCAGAAA